rnacentral:rRNA from 1 species
CAGCAGCAGCCGCGGUAAUACGAAGGGGGCUAGCGUUGUUCGGAAUUACUGGGCGUAAAGGGCGCGUAGGCGGCCAUUCAAGUUAGAUGUGAAAGCCCUGGUCUCAACCUAGGAAUUGCAUUUGAUACUGUUUGGCUUGAGUUCGGGAGAGGUGAGUGGAAUUCCCAGUGUAGAGGUGAAAUUCGUAGAUAUUGGGAAGAACACCAGUGGCGAAGGCGGCUCACUGGACCGACACUGACGCUGAGGCGCGAAAGCGUGGGGAGCAAACAGGAUUAGAUACCCGCGUAGUCCCUGUCUCUUAUCC